AUCUUUCUCUUUCAUCACUUCUCUCUCAGUUAUCCAAAACUCAUAUCUCUUUUCUUUUUUCUUCCGAGUUCUGCAACUCUUCUCCAUCUAUCAUCAUCUCCUCCAAGAAAUUAGAAUUUGAAACCUAACUUCAACAAUAAUAGUGAAAUAGAAGAAUCAAGAUAAUCAUCGUUUUUUCUUAUGAUAUCCCCAAACCCUUUCUUCAUCUCCUCUACCAAAGUUUCUUUAUCACCCACACAACGAAAACCCUAUCUUCUAAAUUAUGUGCAUCGUCAUUAAACAAGCCCUUUACUCCGCCUCUUUCUUAUUGAUGUCUUCUAUUAAUUUUUUCGUUUUCUGGAAACAGAAACAAAACCAUUUCUUAGAUCUGUAACCAAUUUCUUAGAUUUGUAACAUGUAAUCUCAAUUGUGAACCAUUCUUAAAUCCAUUUUUUUGCCUUUAUCUGUUAGGGUUCUAAUCAUCUAUUCUUCUAUUUCAUAAACGGAACCCAUUUUAUUUCAACAUCAGUUGUAUAUCGGAGAAGAGUACCACAAAAAUCAGAGAAGAUAUUCUGGUUAUUAUCAUUGGAUUUAUUUGUGUUAUGUUUUAUUCGGAGUAGUACAUCUACAAAGCAGCCAUCAGGGAUCAGCUGGAACACAUGAUUCUUGGGGACCUCAAAUUAAGGGUCUUACUUGAGACACCAAAUGAUGAGAUGAACAUCAUUAGAAACGAUUCAUUUAGUUUAUUGAUGAUCUCAGUGGAGUAAGAAAUAGAAUUUACUAUUGAGGUUUGUGCAUUUGAUAAUUGUGGAAUGGGCUAGAGUUCGAUACCCACUAGAAAAUCUGAACACAUGGACAACAAUAUGGCAAAAGAUGCAUUGGCAUUAAUUGAUCAUUUAGGUUGGGGUAAAGCUCAUGCUUUCAAUCAUUUAAGUUGACAACCCCCUUAUUUUCAUUUGGAUAACUUGUGGUAUAAUCUCUGCUCAGGGAAUGUUGAAAUUCUUCAAAUGGGUUUCUUGGUAUGAAACCCAAAUUGGAAUUUCAUAUUCUCCCAAUUAUGGAGCUCAUGGUCUGAAAUAUUUUGGUUAGUCCUAUUUUCUGUAGGCAUGCUUCGUAUGAUUUGGUUGCUCUGAAUUUUGGAGAUGCUUUAGAUUGAGACCGUAUGCUAUGUUCCAGUUGUACCGAAGAAUUUGUGACUUAUUGGACUUUUGGUUUUGUAACUAAAGAAUUUGUGAUUGAUAAGUUACAUUACUGAGAGCUCCACAAGUACCAGGGGGCAUCAAUUAUUUCAUGGAAUUCCUUAUGUGGUCAUUUAAUUUGCAUCCAAGUGAUGAUAUGAAAAUCCUAGCAAUUUCUUCUUAUCUGAUAUAUGAUAUCGGGCAUGCCAAGCUUGCAGGUUUGCUUCCACAUUACAGGUUAUACUCCCGUUUCACUCCAUCCUUGAUUGACAGGGGAUAUUGCGAUUGGACCCCCAAUGGAAGAGAAAGUUGAGGUGGAGGAUAUUGUUGCAUAAUCGAUUCUGGAUAUUGUCCACGAUAAAUAUGCUCACUACAAGAAAACUGAGCUUGUCCAAUCUGCUUACGAUUCUGUGUUGGGUCAUCUAGUUAGAGCCAUUUGCUGGUUAUUGUGGAGUCAUUGGUCACCACAUAAAAAUAAAUGGUCGGAGACGAAGAAGGGACAAAAGAGAUAGCACCAGGGAAGAUGAAAAUCCAGUUUUCAUGCAGGUAGGGGUGUGAAUAAUACCCGAAAAUACUCACCCUGCCUGUAUCCGCCCGAGCCCGCCUGUACCCGAAGUAGCCCAAAGCCUGUUAUGGCCCGUCAUGGACCACGCGGUCUGGCCUGGAUUAAUUUAUUGGGCGGUCUCGGGCUUUGCGAUUAAUUAUGAUGCCCGGCCUGAUACCCGGCCUGGUGCCCGGCCUGAAAGCCUUCUAUGUGCCAUUAAUCAUUUAAUAUCCUCUUAAAAAGACUUAAAAGUUACAAUUUUAUAAUUGUCAAUUUUGUAUCAAGAAAAAUAAAAUAUAUAAUUGUUUUUUUAUUUAUAA